AGUCUGGGAAGUUCCAGCGGAGCAGGUACUACCGUGACAUCAGCCACUCCAGGGUACGCUGCAGGAACUGUGACAGGGUCGGACACUUGUCCAAAGUCUGCCCCGAACCACCCAGGAAGUCAGCAUGUUUCCUGUGUGGCGGCCGAGACCACCAGUCCUCCACCUGCCCAACUGCCGUCUGCCACUUCUGCUCCAACCCUGGACACCAGACCCGCUACUGUAAGGGCCGGUACCGCUGUGCUGAGAGUGUCUGCCUCCACUGUCACUGGAAGGGACAUCUGGCAAGGGACUGUCCUGACAAAUGGAGGCAGUACCAUUCCACA